UACGUAGGGUGCGAGCGUUGUCCGGAAUUAUUGGGCGUAAAGAGCGCGCAGGCGGCUUGGCAAGUCGGGUGUGAAAUCCCGGGGCUCAACCCCGUGACUGCAUUCGAUACUGUCAGGCUAGAGGUAGGUAGGGGAGAUCGGAAUUCCUGGUGUAGCGGUGAAAUGCGCAGAUAUCAGGAGGAACACCGGUGGCGAAGGCGGAUCUCUGGGCCUUACCUGACGCUCAGGCGCGAAAGCUAGGGGAGCGAACAGG
rnacentral:rRNA from 1 species